rnacentral:lncRNA from 1 species
ACCUUAAUCUUGAACAUGCAGCCUCCAUAACUGUUUGAAAAUCAGUUUCUAUGGUUGAAGCCACACAGUCUGGGAUGUUUGGUUAUGGCAGCCUGAGCAAACUAGCACAGAGGCCCUUGACAUGUUGGCCUCACCCUUUCACACCAGUUCUCCAGCCAAAUGAACUACCUGGACACCCUCCAGUGACCACCCCCUCAUGUCACGUGGUCACCAUUUCCUUCGCUUAGAACAUCCUCCCACUUCACCACUGCUGCUGAAAUAUCCGCUGCCUCUAUAUAGCGAUGCCAAAUAGAAACGCGGAGACAGAGGCGGAGGAAAGAGAAAAAAGCAUCUUUAAUUGCCAGGUGAAGAGGGGAACACAGUAGGCUAAUGCCUCAAGGACUGUGCUCCCCCUUGGAGGAGGUAGCGAGGAGUCUUAUAGUAUUUGAGGAGCAGAGCAUGGUCAGUUCAUGGACUUUUCUUGAUUGGUAGGUGGUGAGGUAACUGGGAGUCAAUGUCAGUUACCUGGUUCUAACUGGUCUGGGGUCUACGUGCUUGUGGGUAGCAUCCAGUUGACUUCUUCCACCCAGUGGGUGCUUCAGCACCUGCAAGACAGAUUCAAGGACAUGGCUCAGAAUAUUAACUAUAGUCUCUGAAGAAGGGAAGGUCCUUGACGUUGUGGAAUGGCUGAAUCAUUAUUACUGUUUUCUUUUUUCACUUCUCUGAUUAAAUUGGUUCUUUGACUAAAGUUCUUCUAUAGACAAAAAGGCAGGUGAAGGACAUGAGUCGGGGGUGGGGAGUCCACUCUGGGAAGGCCUCCCAGGGUCCUGCUUGGUUACACCAUCUCUACUGCUUGAAUGAAUUCUAUACACAUGUUGGUUGUGGUCUUGAUGUGAGGUUCAUAGAGUUUUCCACAAAAAUGUUCUUUUAUGGAAACUAAUGAUUUCUUAAUUUUUAUUUUUUUCUUAAUUUUAAAAUGGAUGUUUACACUUUUAUCAUUUAUUCUUGGGCAUCCUCUGUGCUUUGUAUCCCUUCUUCUCAAACUCAUACUAAAACUUGCCUACCUACCUCCCACCAUCUGCAAAAGUGAACUCAAAACGGAUCUAACACCUAAAUGAAAGCACUGAAGUGACAAAAUUCUUAGAAGGAUAUAUAGCUGUAAAUCUUAAUGACCCUGGAUUAGGCAAUUUUUUUAAAGGUAUGGUACCAAAAGCAUGCAUAACAAAAGGAAAAAAAGAGAGAAAUUGGGCAUGUUCAAACCAAAAUCGUGUGUUUUAAAGGACACCACCAGGAGUUCCCGUUGUGGCACAGUGGCAAUGAAUCCUACUAGGAUCCAUGAGGAUGGGCGUUUAAGCCCUGACCUCACUCAGUGGGUCAGAGAUCCAGCGUUGCUGUGAGCUGUGGUGUAGGUUGCAGAUUCGGCUUGGAUCCUGUGUUGCUGAGGCUGUGGCAUAGACCAGCAGCUGUGGCUCCGAUUUGACCCCUAGCCUGGGAACUUCCAUAUGCUGUGGGUGUGGCCCCAAAAAAACAAAAAAAAAAAAAAAAAGGAUAUCAUCGGGAAGAAUGGAAGAAAACUUUUUGGGGUUUUUUUUUGUUGUUUUUUUUUAAUUUUAUUUUAUUACUCAAGUGAAUUUAUCGCAUCUGUAGUUGUAAUGGGAGAAAACAUUUUGAAAUCAUAUAUCUGAUAAGGACUUGCAUCUAGAAUUUAUAAAGAACUAUUACAACUUGGUAUAAGAAAUAAAAAUAAAAAUAAAAAAAUGGACAAAGCAUCUGAAUAGACAAAGAAGAUAUUCAAAUAGCCAAGAAGGACACAAAAAGAUGUUCAAUAUCAUUAGCUAUCAAGGAAAAGGAAAUCAAAAGUACAAUGAGACAUCACUUCACAUUCAUGAUAAUGGCUAUAAUCAGAACGUCAGAUAGUAAAAGAGUUGGUGAGGGUAUGGAGAAAUUAGCAGGGUAUGGUGCAUCUGCUUUGGAAAAUAGUCUUGACAUUUAUUGAAAUGGUUAAACAUAGAGUUACCAUAUGAGUUAGAAAUUCCAUAUCUAAACACAUACCCAAGAGAAGUGGAGACAUAAUGUCCACAUAAAGACUUAUACAUAGGGAGUUCCCGUCAUGCCGCAGCGGAAAGGAAUCCAACUAGGAACCAUGAGGUUGCAGGUUUGAUCCCUGGCCUCACUCAGUGGGUCGGGGAUCCAGCGUUGCUGUGAGCUGUGGUGUAGGUCGCAGAUGCGCCUGGGAUCCUAAGUUGCUCUGGCGUGGCAUAGGCCAGCAGCUGUAGCUCCUUUUCGAUCCCUAGCCUGGGAACUUGCAUAUUCUGCAGGUGAGGCCCUAAAAAGAAAAAAACAAAAACAAAAAA